UGGGCUGGUGAGAUGGUUCAGUGGGUAAGAGCACCGACUGCUCUUCCAAAGGUACUGAGUUCAAAUCCCAGCAACCACAUGGUGGCUCACAACCUCCCAUAAUGAGAUCUGAUACCCUCUUCUGGUGUGUUUGAAGACAGCUACAGUGAACUUAUACUAAUAAAUAAAUCUUUGGCCUGAGCAAGUGGGGUUGACUAGAGCAGCCAGAGGUCCUAAGUUCAAUUCCCAACAAUCACAUGAAGGCUCACAACCAGCUGUACAACUAAAGUGUGUACUCAUAUACAUAAAAUAAAUCUUUAAAAAAAAUAAUAACAGAAGUUCUCAGCUCAAACCAUCUUAAUCCUUGACAGACUCCUUUUUCCUUAAAGUUCACUACAGCUGUAGCAUGUCCCCAGGGUGUGACAAAGAAACUGAUUUUCUUCUUGGAAUGAGGAAAGCUAUAAAUAGAAAGGCAGAGAAGGAAAAGGCAGGCCACACAUGCUCCUGAGCAGAGUCAGUGACCAAGGUAGUGACCCGCAGGGUAGAUGGGGUCCCUAACCACCAGCCAUGAGAUCGAACCAGCCACUAAGGACCUUGGGAAAACAGGCACAAUUUUGUUAUCAGUCAUUUCCUAGUAAUUUUUUUUUUUUUUACUUUUUUCUAGAAUGAAUGACUUAGAGAAAGAUAACUCAAACUUACUGUUUGACCUAAACUUUAGAAGCAGAAGUGGUAGCAAGAAUGUCUAUAGAGUCUUAGAGGAAUCAAAGAAAUUUGGAUUUUCAUAAGAUGCCUUUAUGCUCAGGGAACACAUUAUGUUGGGUGGUGGUGGUUGUUGUUGUCAUUGUUGCCUAGUUCCAGGUUCUUUUUCUUUAACACCAAAAGAAACUACUAGAUGGUGCAAAAUAUCCUGCUGCCUUUUCUUUGCCUUGUGGCUGACCAGAACUGAUUAUAAAUAAGGAGAUUAAAAAGAAAUAUAAGAGCCCAGGAAGGUGGCGCAGCAGGUAACAACGACACUUAACCAUGCAAGCCUGAUGACCCAAGGUCGCUCCUAGAACUUGCAUGAAGUUGGGUCAACUCCAUGACUUUGUCCUCUGGCCUCCAAAUGCCUGCUGUGGUACAGAGUCAUCAUGCACACACACACAAUAAUAACGUUUUAGAAUAUGAAAUUUAUUGAUGGUCCUUAAUGUCCCAAAUAACAAUUUGCUUUACCAAAAUAACAACAACAACAACAAAAUCAGUGUUUAGUGGUUUUUGUAAAUAUUGACCUACAUUUGAUGUGCAACCAUGAAAUCCUAAAAAAGGUUAUACUUUUAGGUAAGAUUUGAAGGAAGAUGGUUGUGUUCACUGCUGGAUUUUAUUAUCAAAAAGCAAUUAUGUAUGCUUUUUUUUUAAUGCAUGCUCUGAUGCUACUUUCUAUGCUUUCAGCCCCUGGAUUCUCACCUUCUAGGAAAACAACAGUUUAUGCCUUUGAGGUGGACUACAUUGAUUCUUUUUUUUUUUUUUUUUAAUGGAUGACCUGAAGAAAACUACAGUAUUUUCUGAAGCAUUGCUGUUUCAUUUCAAAUUUGUUUUAGCUAAUGUCCCACAGUCUCAUUCUGGUCAGGUUCUCUACAGCAAUGUUCAUUGUGAAGACAGUGGAAUAUAGUCAGACAACAGAAAUAAUGUUUAAAACUCCAUCUUUUAUACAACUACUAAAAUAUGAAAAACUCCCAGCUCUGCAGUUUUCAAAUUAUAUGUACUAUAUAUAUCAAGUCUCUGAAAAUUUGCUUUAGGUCUUACUUAACAAAAGAAGUCAAAGUAGUCUUUUGAAGCAAGAGGAAAAGAACAACUAAUUCUGGUGUGAUUUGCCAUACUAAUUACAUAAUUACUUGUAAUUAUUUGUUUAACUCUUUGCCCCUCCUCAUUUAGGAGUCAUAGAUUAGAAGGUCACAGGCGCCCUCUGAUAGCUCAAGCCCCAUCUGAAGGUAGCAGACACCACUCAGCCCCACAUGAUUGCUGACAGUUUAAAAAAAUAAUCCUGAUGUGUAGCAGGAAUGGUGGUGCCACCUCUAUGUAAAUGCCUGGGCCUCACAGCUACAAAAGCAUCUCCUGCAGGAGGACUUAACUGAGGACUGUCUGAGAGACCAAGGAUUCCUGGUGUAGACAAUGCCAGCCAAUCUGGAACUGCUCUUUAGAAGAGAUGCUUUAUUGGACCAAUGGGGUGUGGGUGGAGGGUAUUAAAGGAGCUUACAGCAGUGCUCAGAUGAGCUUGCUACAGCAAUUCUCACCUGCUCCCUGAGUCUGUGUCUUUGACUCUGUACCACCUAACCUCCAACACCCAAGGGCUGGUAGGGUUAGGUGGCAAGUAGUCCAGGGCACAGGCAACAUGAUUGCUAGAUCAUUCAAAAGUGAAAGAGACCCUGGUUACCCUGCUGGAUUGCUUAAAUCCUUCUUUUAAAGAGUUAAUAACCAACUUUUUAAAAAGAAACAAAAGAAAUCUGAACAUGGCAUGAAUCAAACAAAGCAUAUGUUGUGUUGUUUUGUUAUUUAAUUAAAAUGUGCAUUUGUUGGAAAGCUCUGCCUUU
rnacentral:lncRNA from 1 species